rnacentral:lncRNA from 1 species
UAUCUUGUGAUUCAACCGUAGAAAAUCCAAAUUGACCAAUUAUCUUGUGAUUUAACCGUAGAAAAUCCAAAUUGAUUCUGUAGUUGUGUUCACCGUCUCGAGGGCUUCGAGAAGCACCCCUUAUUUGUGCCAACAGGACUUCGAAAUCAAAAGGGUCAUUUUAUGGUAAGGAUGUAAAUUAUGUUGGUGUUAUUUAUAUGGAUAUGUAUAUAUAUAUAUAUAUGCAUGUGAGCAUAAGAAGUAUGUUAUUUGAUUGUUGUUGAAAGAUGAUUGGAAAUGAGGUUGGAUUAUUCUUGUGCAUAGUUGGAUUAUGUUGAAUUGUGAAGGGAUUUGGUGUGAUGAUGUGGUAUUGAAAUGAUGAUUAUAUAUAUAUAUAUACAUAAACCUAUUGUUCAAGUUGAUUUUUGGAAUGUUUUGCAAAUAUUGGUAGUAUGGAAUUAUGGAAGAGAAUUGUGGUGUUGGGUUGCUAAUACUAGAUGCCAAACAUUUCAUUGUAGAUAAGUGAUUUGUAAAGGCGGGAAGUUGUGUUGAAUUGGUAUCCGAAUCUACAACGAGGUAUGUAAAGCAUACUCUAACGAUGUUCUUUGGCAUGAAAACACCAAUGUUCCAUCAAGUAAGAUUCCGAGGUUGUCCAAAAACAUGUAUUGUUCUACAUUACCAACGAAGUUGUUUCCAUUCUAUAAAGUGUCAAAAUGUUUCAUUGAUAUACCGAAAGGCUCCUAUUUCAUUGUUGUGAUAUUGAUGAUUCCGAAACACAUUGUUGAUGUACCAAUGAGUCUUUAUUACAUCGUUAUUGUAUAGAAAGUCUAUUACUUGGUUCCUAUUGAUGUAUCAUUAUUCCAAAGGUACUAUAUUGGCAUGAACACUAAUGUAAUAAUCUCAAAAGCUUUUGAACUAAGUUAUUGGAAAGAUCUCUUAUGUGUGUUACUUGAUAUACGUGUGGGUGGUAGCUCAGGGGCUUAAGCCUAGCAUGGGCCGAUCCCGAUAUUUGAUAUGAUUACAGUUGAUAUGUACUGGGGGCAGCCUAAUGGUCACAGUACGGUACAGUAUUGAUUAUUGUUAGGUGGUUGGAGGUUCGGGGGGAGGAGGUAAUGGCGAAUGAUAAUUGUAAAGAAUAAAAUGAACGAAUGUAUACCGUUCUACAAAUGUGUUUGAAUUCAAGAACCCAAUUCAGAUUAAUGAUAAUGUACAUGAUCCUAAAAGUGUUUAUGAAGUGUGGUUCACUUCUAUUAUGAUUUAUUCACUUGCGUCUGAUUUUCUUUAUCCCCCAUAUCACAUAUGAUUAUUUAUAGUUUUACAUACUCAGUACAUAUUUCGUACUGACGUCCCUCACGGGGGACCUGCAUUUCAUACUACAGGCACAGGUGCUUCAGCUCAUUCACAGCAUAGAUAGGAGCCAGGUCAUACAGCUAUUGUUG